rnacentral:rRNA from 1 species
CCUACGGGUGGCUGCAGUGGGGAAUAUUGGGCAAUGGGCGCAAGCCUGACCCAGCAACGCCGCGUGAAGGAAGAAGGCCUUCGGGUUGUAAACUUCUUUUCUCAGGGACGAAGAAAGUGACGGUACCUGAGGAAUAAGCCUCCGCUAACUACGUGCCAGCAGCCGUGGUAAUACGUAGGUGGCAAGCGUUAUCCGGAUUGAGUGGGUGUAAAGGGCGUGUAGGCGGGAGCGCAAGUCAGAUGUGAAAAUUCAGGGCUCAACCCGGAGCCUGCAUUUGAAACUGGGUUUCUUGAGUGCUGGAGAGGCAAGCGGAAUUCCGGGUGUAGCGGUGAAAUGCGUAGAUAUACGGAGGAACACCAGUGGCGAAGGCGGAUUGCUGGACAGUAACUGACGCUGAGGCGCGAAAGCGUGGGGAGCAAACAGGAUUAGAUACCCGAGUAGUC